GUGAGGAAUAUUGGUCAAUUGGCGGGAGCCUGAACCAGCCAAGUCGCGUGAAGGAAGAAGGAUCUAUGGUUCGUAAACUUCUUUUGCAGGGGAAUAAAGUGCAGGACGUGUCCUGUUUUGUAUGUACCCUGAGAAUAAGGAUCGGCUAACUCCGUGCCAGCAGCCGCGGUAAUACGGAGGAUCCGAGCGUUAUCCGGAUUUAUUGGGUUUAAAGGGUGCGUAGGUGGUUUGAUAAGUCAGCGGUGAAAGUUUGCAGCUUAACUGUAAAAAUGCCGUUGAAACUGUCGGACUUGAGUGUAAAUGAGGUAGGCGGAAUGCGUGGUGUAGCGGUGAAAUACAUAGAUAUCACGCAGAACUCCGAUUGCGAAGGCAGCUUACUAAGCUACAACUGACACUGAAGCACGAAAGCGUGGGGACCAAACAGGAUUAGAUACCCGAGUAGUCC
rnacentral:rRNA from 1 species